rfam:Mesocricetus auratus contig145159, whole genome shotgun sequence.
ACCUCUGAGCCAUCUCUCCAGCCCAAUAAAUAAAUCUUAAAAAAAAAGUCUUCUGCCCACUUAUAAAAAAAAAUAUCUCUUAGGGGCUGGAGAGAUGGCUCAGAGGU